rnacentral:rRNA from 1 species
CACAAGCGGUGGAGCAUGUGGUUAAUUCGACGCAACGCGAAGAACCUUACCAGGGCUUGACAUCCCCUGACCGCGUAUGAAAGUACGUUUUCACCCUCGGGUGACAGGGAGACAGGUGGUGCAUGGUUGUCGUCAGCUCGUGUCGUGAGAUGUUGGGUUAAGUCCCGCAACGAGCGCAACCCCUACGUUUAGUUGCUAACAGGUGAAGCUGAGCACUCUAGACGAACUGCCGUUGACAAAACGGAGGAAGGUGGGGAUGACGUCAAAUCAUCAUGCCCCUUAUGUUCUGGGCUACACACGUGCUACAAUGGCCGGUACAGACGGAGGCGAAGCCGCGAGGCGGAGCAAAUCCGAAAAAGCCGAUCGUAGUCCGGAUCGCAGUCUGCAACUCGACUGCGUGAAGUCGGAAUCGCUAGUAAUCGUGGAUCAGCAUGUCACGGUGAAUACGUUCCCGGGGCUU